rnacentral:rRNA from 1 species
AUUGAACGCUGGCGGCAGGCCUAACACAUGCAAGUCGAGCGGAUGAAGGGAGCUUGCUCCUGGAUUCAGCGGCUGACGGGUGAGUAAUGCCUAGGAAUCUGCCUGGUAGUGGGGGAUAACGUCCGGAAACGGGCGCUAAUACCGCAUACGUCCUGAGGGAGAAAGUGGGGGAUCUUCGGACCUCACACUAUCAGAUGAGCCUAGGUCGGAUUAGCUAGUUGGUGGGGUAAAGGCCUACCAAGGCGACGAUCCGUAACUGGUCUGAGAGGAUGAUCAGUCACACUGGAACUGAGACACGGUCCAGACUCCUACGGGAGGCAGCAGUGGGGAAUAUUGGACAAUGGGCGAAAGCCUGAUCCAGCCAUGCCGCGUGUGUGAAGAAGGUCUUCGGAUUGUAAAGCACUUUAAGUUGGGAGGAAGGGCAGUAAGUUAAUACCUUGCUGUUUUGACGUUACCAACAGAAUAAGCACCGGCUAACUUCGUG